rnacentral:ncRNA from 1 species
GCAGAGUAGGAAACGAUGCGUCAAGUGCCCGCCGAACGGGGAGUUGUCGGCGGGACGAAAAGUGGAGAUUGUUCCCACUUGCGGUAUGGUUUCCGCAUCCCGCUGC